ensembl:lincRNA
GUUGCGUUGGCUUGAACUUGGUCCUCUCCUGGAGUUGUUUUUCCCCUGGGACCAAGUAAGGUGGGAUGGCAAGGGUGCCACGUCAACCCUGGAGAGGAAAGCGGACGGGGCCGGCAUGUUACAAAAGCCAUCUUGCUGGAGACUCACAGCCCUGACUGUGUCUGUUCUAGAGAGGCUGAAAGGCUCACUCUGAGAGGGGAUGGGAUCCCCUCAAUGGUCCAAAGAAAGGCCAGGAUUCACACGCAGGACCGUCUGGCCCCAAAGGCCAUCGCUCUUUCCACUUUAUCCCCGUUGCCUCCCUCAACGCCUUCACGUCUUACUAAAAGGGCUGCCGGACGCACCACAUUGCACCGUAUUGGAAUGACAGGAAGAGAUGAUCCAAGUCUCCAUGCAGUCUUCCUCCAUCCUGGCCUGAGCCUUAGGAAGCAGGAUUCCCCAAUCCCUAUUCCCCCAGCUCAUGGGGGGACUGGUCAGGGGUCCUUCCAUCUUCUGCCACAGUGAUUGGUAAGUCUCCUCUUGGGGCUCUUCCCCAGUACCUCUCCUCAUUUCCCAGCCUCUGCAUGUAAGAGAGCCCCAGGACUCAGGCUUUAGCCUUUUGCUUCUCAAUGAUUUGCAGCAGAUGCAUGGAUUUCUAUCCCAUCAAUAUCAGUGGUUCUCUGCCCUGGCUGAACAACGGAAUUACUUGCGAGCUUUCAAGCCUCCCAGUGCUCACACUGCAUGGCCAAUCAGUCAUAACAGGAUCUCUGAAGACUAGAGUAUCCAUCGUUUUUAAAGCUCCCCACAUGAGUCCAUGGAAUCUGGGGCCACAAACCCCCCUUGUACACCAGGGAAGACAUAGGGAGCCUGGUUAGGAGGCCCUGCAACACCAGGAGAUUGUGGGGACUUCAAAGAGGAUGGUGGCAGUGGAUGUGAUGAGAGGUGGAGUCUGGAUAUAUUUGAAUAUAGAGUGAACUGGAUUUUCUGGGGUAUUGAGUGUGAGCUAUGAAAGCAAGGAGGAAUCAAGGUUUCAGCCUGAGCACCCGGAAGGAUGGAGGGGCCACACACUAGGAUGGGGGUGUCAUGGGAAGAGCAGGUUUGGAGGUUGUCAGGAAUUUUAUUUAGGCCAGGUUAAAUUGGAGAUGACUGUUCUGCUUAUCAGACACCAAAUGGAGAACUCAAAUAGGAAGUGGACUUCAGAAUAUGGGCAUCAAAGGAGAAUUUUGGAUUUGGGAGUUCUCAGCAUAUACACCAGUAGCUCUCAGCCUUGAUGCAUGUUAAAAUAACCCAGGGGCCCCAGUGCAAUGGCAAAGAUCAACAAGGAAGGAUGACCCAAUAAUGAGCCCUUGAUACUGAUGACUAUGCUUAGGAGUCUGUGUGCCUAAAAUAUGAACUAGGUCUAGAGCUGUAGGGUGCCUAAGAGUUACCUCCUGAGAGCCUCCAUGUUGUGCAAAUGUGGACACUCUCUAAGCCAAACUCAAUAUGUAAAUGCAUUACCUUCCCCGUAAUGUGGGACAUGACUCCUGGGGUUGAGCCUCCCUGGCACCGAGGGAUUACUACCAAUCAUUAACUGGAGAAGCAACUAGAAAGAGACCUCGAAUAAAAGUGUCAACUCAGACCAGCAGAAUAUCUCAGCCUACAUGUUGAAUCAAGCGUUAAAAACUUUUCUUUGACCUUGAAUAAAAGGGGGAAAUGGCAAAGACAAAUGAGUUUAUAUGGCUAAGAGUCUUCCAAAAAGAGUUGGGAGGUCAUCAGAGGGGUCAUGUUAAGCACAUCUCAGCAGGACCCCAGAAAAAGCCAAAGUAGAUACAAACCUAGGUUCUGGUUCUACUGAAAGCUACGGAGAUCCACAGGGUGUAUAGUCAUGGCAGAUGGAUUUGGAGC